rnacentral:rRNA from 1 species
UACGUAGGGUGCAAGCGUUGUCCGGAAUUAUUGGGCGUAAAGAGCUCGUAGGCGGUCUGUCGCGUCGGAUGUGAAACCUCGGGGCUCAACCCCGAGCCUGCAUUCGAUACGGGCAGACUAGAGUUCGGUAGGGGAGACUGGAAUUCCUGGUGUAGCGGUGAAAUGCGUAGAUAUUCGCAAGAACACCAGUGGCGAAGGCGGCUCACUGGCCCGGUACUGACGCUGAGGUGCGAAAGCGUGGGGAGCAAACAGG